rnacentral:rRNA from 1 species
CCUACGGGAGGCAGCAGUGAGGAAUAUUGGUCAAUGGACGAGAGUCUGAACCAGCCAAGUAGCGUGAAGGAUGACUGCCCUAUGGGUUGUAAACUUCUUUUAUAUGGGAAUAAAACACAGUAUGUAUACUCCUUUGUAUGUACCUUAUGAAUAAGGAUCGGCUAACUCCGUGCCAGCAGCCGCGGUAAUACGGAGGUUCGGGCGUUAUUCGGGUUUAAUGGGUUUAAAGGGGGCGUAGGCCGGAUGUUAAGCGUGCUGUGAAAGGUCGGGGCUCAACCCGAGCAUUGCAGCGGGAACUGGCGUGCUUGAGUACACGAAAGGCAGGCGGAAUUCGUCGUGUAGCGGUGAAAUGCUUAGAUAUGACGAAGAACCCCGAUUGCGAAGGCAGCUUGCUGGAGUGGAACUGACGCUGAUGCUCGAAAGCGCGGGUAUCAAACAGGAUUAGAUACCCCUGUAGUC